CAACAUUGGGAUGCAGGUACUUU
rnacentral:miRNA from 1 species